rnacentral:rRNA from 1 species
CCUACGGUGGGCAGCAGUGAGGAAUAUUGGUCAAUGGACGAGAGUCUGAACCAGCCAAGUAGCGUGAAGGAUGACUGCCCUAUGGGUUGUAAACUUCUUUUAUAUGGGAAUAAAAUGUUCCACGUGUGGGAUUUUGUAUGUACCAUAUGAAUAAGGAUCGGCUAACUCCGUGCCAGCAGCCGCGGUAAUACGGAGGAUCCGAGCGUUAUCCGGAUUUAUUGGGUUUAAAGGGAGCGUAGGUGGAUUGUUAAGUCAGUUGUGAAAGUUUGCGGCUCAACCGUAAAAUUGCAGUUGAAACUGGCAGUAUUGAGGACAGUAGAGGUGGGCGGAAUUCGUGGUGUAGCGGUGAAAUGCUUAGAUAUCACGAAGAACUCCGAUUGCGAAGGCGGCUUACUGGACUGUAAAUGACGCUGAGGCUCGAAAGCGUGGGGAGCAAACAGGAUUAGAUACCCUUGUAGUC